GGAUUGACACAUCGGUCGUGCCUUAAGGGGUAUGAACUGGUGUAGUCAGUUUCUCACCUUCUGGAGAACCGCGAUGUCCUUAAUUGGGUGCCGCGAGGAACCAGGACCUUUACUUUGAAAAAAUUAGAGUGUUUAAAGCAGGCAUUUUGCUUGAAUACAUUAGCAUGGAAUAAUAAAAUAGGACGGAUGGUUCUAUUUUGUUGGUUUCUAGGAUCACCGUAAUGAUUAAUAGGGAUAGUUGGGC
rnacentral:rRNA from 1 species